rnacentral:rRNA from 1 species
GGGCCCGCACAAGCGGUGGAGCAUGUGGUUUAAUUCGAUGAUACGCGAGGAACCUUACCAGGGCUUAAAUGUAAGUUGCAUUAGUUAGAGAUAGCUAUUUCUUCGGACCACUUACAAGGUGCUGCAUGGUUGUCGUCAGCUCGUGCCGUGAGGUGUCAGGUUAAGUCCUAUAACGAGCGCAACCCCUGUUGUUAGUUGCCAGCGAGUCAUGUCGGGAACUCUAACAAGACUGCCGGUGCAAACCGUGAGGAAGGUGGGGAUGACGUCAAAUCAUCACGGCCCUUACGUCCUGGGCUACACACGUGCUACAAUGGUCGGUACAGAGAGCAGCCACUACGCGAGUAGGAGCGAAUCUUCAAAGCCGAUCACAGUUCGGAUCGGAGUCUGCAACUCGACUCCGUGAAGCUGGAAUC